rnacentral:misc_RNA from 1 species
GUCAUGUGCAGGUACUGACAUAAUUGCUCCAGUCCCAUAAUUUCCCAAAACAUAAUCUGCAAUCCAUAUUGGGAUUGAUUCCCCGUUAGCCGGAUUCCUUGCAUAGCAGCCGCUGAAGACCCCAAUUUUUUCCUUCUGAAGCUCAGUCCUCUCAAGAUCACUCUUACGUGAGGCAAGAUCCUUGUAUUCUUCCACACUUCUGCUCUGGGCAUCAGACACUAAUGAUGAAAGUAAAGAAUGUUCCGGUGCCACAACUAAAUAUGUUGCACCAAAGAUGGUAUCAGGC